rnacentral:rRNA from 1 species
UACGGGGGGAGCAAGCGUUGUUCGGAUUUACUGGGCGUAAAGGGCGCGUAGGCGGCCAGUGCAAGUCAGUUGUGAAAUCUCCGAGCUUAACUCGGAAAGGUCAACUGAUACUGCUCGGCUAGAGUGCGGAAGGGGCAACUGGAAUUCUUGGUGUAGCGGUAAAAUGCGUAGAUAUCAAGAGGAACACCUGCGGCGAAGGCGGGUUGCUGGGCCGACACUGACGCUGAGGCGCGAAAGCUAGGGGAGCGAACGGG